CACAUGUAAUACAUGUAAUGACGGCAACGCUUAUCACUACUUUGGGUUUGUACUGGAAAUAAAACGGAUUAUUUCCAGUAACACUUUGUUCGUUGCAGUGACCGGUUUAGUUUCCAACUAAAGAAGUUCCGAAGAUGAAGCUGACCAUCUUAUUAACCUUAUUCAUGAUCUUGAUCGGUGCUGCAUUCGCUUUUCCACAAAUACCAGUCGUAGAUACAGUACGAUCGGGAGGACAGGGUCAGGAAUCUGAUGGAAAUUCAGACUCUGGUGAAAGCGAAGAAACAAAAGUGAAUGCUUAGCUAUGAAAUAGUAUACAAAUGUUAAAAAAAAUGUUAGAAAGUUUUCAGAAAAAAUAGUGAAUAAAAUGCAAUAAAACUAUAAGAA